rnacentral:tRNA from 1 species
CCCCUUGUGGUGUAGUUGGUUUAUCACGUCUGACUGUAAUGGAAAACAUUAAAUCAGAAGGUCACCGGCUCGACUCCGGUCGAGGGGA